rnacentral:lncRNA from 10 species
CAAGCCACACAUUAAUGCCGAGCUUCUGUUAAGUAAAAAAUAACUAGGGAUACCAGACUGAGUUUUUCAGCCCAGUCAGAAGAAAAGCAAUUUGACAUACUGUUACCCUUUGCAGUCUUAGCAAGAGAAAGACAAUGCGCUUGUUUAUUGUCUAAAUUAGCACUUUGCCCCUGAUACUCCUCAAAGCUGAAAGACCCUCUAAGAUCAAGAACUGAUGAAGGCUAUAGAAAAAUGUGCUGCUCAAAAGGAGAUUUCCAUCUCGAAAAGGCAAAUUACUGGGAAAAAUGAAUCUGUUUUCUCUGCCAAGCAUUGGAGACAUAGAAGGAGACUGCCUCCUGCUGGGGUCAGUAUUUUCUGCAUCCCAUGAACGGAAGUGAGAACAGCCUUGGGAGCUAAUGCCGAAGGUGGGAGAAUCUGAUGCCCUCAGUCUCCAGUGAACUAAAGCUGAAGAAGACUCAGAUUUCUGACACAAUGGUAACACCUAUCCCUUCUGCCUGUGACUGCCAGGGCUUGCUGUAUGAUGAUAAGAAGAGAAUGUGACACAGAGGAAGGGGAAAAAGUCCAUCCCUCUGCCGCCUCCCUGCUUCAAGUUGUCCUGCCUUUCCCGACGGAACCAAUGUACAUCUUACAUAUACUGAUUGAUAUCUCAUGUCUCCCUAAAAUGUAUAAAACCAAGCUGUGCCCUGACAACCUUGGGCAAUGUCAUCAGGCCCUCCUGAGGCUGUGUCAUAGGCAUGUCCUUAACCUUAGCA